UAAUACGUAGGGACCAAGCGUUGUUCGGAUUUACUGGGCGUAAAGGGCGCGUAGGCGGCAAUUCAAGUCAGUUGUGAAAUCUCCGAGCUUAACUCGGAACGGUCAACUGAUACUGUUUUGCUAGAGUGCAGAAAGGGCAACCGGAAUUCUUGGUGUAGCGGUGAAAUGCGUAGAUAUCAAGAGGAACACCUGAGGCGAAGGCGGGUUGCUAGGCUGACACUGACGCUGAGGCGCGAAAGCUAGGGUAGCAAACGGGAUUAGAUACCCCGGUAGUCCUAGCCCUAAACGAUGUAUGCUUGGUGUCUGGAGUUUUUAUCUCUGGGUGCCGUCGCUAACGCUUUUAGCAUACCGCCUGGGGAGUACGCUCGCAAGAGUG
rnacentral:rRNA from 1 species